GGUCAGCAAGAAUAUAAAUGAUAUGCAUUUCAAAAUGAAGCAUCACGUAGCUAUAUACACACCGUUAAAAAUCAGCAUUCCGAAAUAUUUGCUUCACAUCAUUAAAUGCGUCUGUAUAAAGACUCUAUAAAGAUCCAAUCUUGUGUAAUUUGUAUGCCAUUGUCGUCGGAAUGUUUAACACUGCCAGUUUUUAGCCAACGAGUUAUCAAAAUACGCGAAAUAGCGCGAAAAUACAGACAUAUAUACAUACACUAUGACAUUCUAUUCUUCUAUGGCCAUGCUAAUCUUGUUACACGGUUAAAUUUCACUCUAAACACGUUAAUUCAUGGCUUUUGAAAAGGCCCUCAAAGCACAAUACAAUGUAUUUACAAAUUUGUUAACCAUGUAAACGUUUU